GGCCCCGUAGCUCAGUGGAUAGAGCAGCUGCCUUCUAAGCAGCUGGUCGUAGGUUCGAUUCCUACCGGGGUCACCA
rnacentral:tRNA from 1 species